AUAUCCCUGUGGCGUUUGUGAUUGACAGAUGAUUUUUGGGCCGACGUGGAAAACCUUUGGGAGCCUUCUUCUUAUCCUAGCGGGUUUUUAAAAACCUUAAGGGAUAAUAAGGCACCCACGUUUACAAGGGGGUUCAAAAAGAACUGUCAACACGGCGCCCACGGGGUGUUA
rnacentral:other from 1 species